GAUGAACGCUGGCGGCGUGCCUAAUACAUGCAAGUCGAGCGAAUGGAUUAAAAGCUUGCUCUCAAGAAGUUAGCGGCGGACGGGUGAGUAACACGUGGGUAACCUGCCCAUAAGACUGGGAUAACUCCGGGAAACCGGGGCUAAUACCGGAUAACAUUUUGAACUGCAUGGUUCGAAAUUGAAAGGCGGCUUCGGCUGUCACUUAUGGAUGGACCCGCGUCGCAUUAGCUAGUUGGUGAGGUAACGGCUCACCAAGGCAACGAUGCGUAGCCGACCUGAGAGGGUGAUCGGCCACACUGGGACUGAGACACGGCCCAGACUCCUACGGGAGGCAGCAGUAGGGAAUCUUCCGCAAUGGACGAAAGUCUGACGGAGCAACGCCGCGUGAGUGAUGAAGGCUUUCGGGUCGUAAAACUCUGUUGUUAGGGAAGGACAAGUGCUAGUUGAAUAAGCUGGCACCUUGACGGUACCUAACCAGAAAGCCACGGCUAACUACGUGC
rnacentral:rRNA from 1 species